rnacentral:SRP_RNA from 1 species
CCGUGCUAGAUGGGGAGGUAGCGGUGCCCUGUAACUCGCAAUCCGCUGUAGCGAGGUUGAAUUCCUAUCAGAGGUUAUGCUGAUGUGGGGUUUGGACCUUAUGAAUAGUGUUGACGGAUGGGUCCUCCGCAAUGGACGCCUGUGAACGGGUCAGGUCCGGAAGGAAGCAGCCAUAAGCAGGUAAGUUCAUGUGCCGGAGGAGUGCCUGUCCCGAGCUAGGAGUAAGGAUACCACCUGGAUCGCAUUUAUCGAAGAUAGGUGCACGG